rnacentral:lncRNA from 1 species
AAGAAACUGGUGGUUUAGCGCAUGUGCCCUGCGUCAGUGAACACAUGGUAAAAUAAAAUAGUGUAAAAAACCGGCUUCAGCUCGUUGACGACCGCAGUCCGUUCCUUUGGGCUUUGGAUGCUCUAAAUCUCCUCUGACAUCACCAAAUCGAAAACGCAAGCAAGCGCCAUCAUCCUCCUGUCAAUCAACGACUCCGAAAAUUGUCGCGGCAUUCUGCCCGUGCACUGCAACUGCAUACGCCCCGCCCCAAAGCCAAAAGUUCAUCGCUCCCUCCUCCCUUUUUCCUCCGCUUUCCCUUCGCCCUCCGCUGCGCACAUCCUCCCAACCUAAACCCGACGAAACCCCCAGCCGUUUCCAUCGCGAGCAGAGAGAUAGGGGGGAGAGGGAGGGGAUCCGGCCUCCAGGAUCACGCUCCCUCAUUGCGCUCCCCGCCGGAGCGGCGCGUGAGGCUCUCUCUCUCUCUCUUGCCCGGCGCGAUGGAUCAGGACGUGGACGACAGGGCGGCGGCGAGCGUGGCGGCGGCGGCGCGGUCGCUGCGGGCGGGGCUGGAGCGGUCGUGCGCGAUGGGGCAGGCGCUGACGCGCGGGGGGCCGCGGCUCGAGGAGAUCNNNNNNNNNNNNNNNNNNNNNNNNNNNNNNNNNNNNNNNNNNNNNNNNNNNNNNNNNNNNNNNNNNNNNNNNNNNNNNNNNNNNNNNNNNNNNNNNNNNNACCCCCUCCCCGCGGCGAGCCCCUCCCCACGGCGACCCCCUCCCCGCAACCCUCCCGUCACUGCGGCCCUCCUCCCCCACCACCACACAGUGAGUUCAUUCUCUUUCAUUUUUUCUUUUUUUCAUUUCAUUUCAUUUGUUAGUUUAGGUUACUGGCAGUGUCUAUUAGGUUAAUGUUAGUUUAGGUUAAUUAGGUUAGGUUAAUUAGGAGGAGAAAAAAGAAUGUUAGUUUAGGUUAAUUAGGUUAGGUUAAUUAGGUUAAUGUUAGUUUAGGUUAAUUAGGAGGAGAAAAAAGAAUAAUAAUAAUAGUAAUAAGAUGAUAAAGAAGAAGAACAAGAAGAAGAAGAAAAAGAGGAGAGAGGAGAAGAAGAAAGAAGAGGACCCCGACGCCCAACGCCACCAACCCCCGAUGCCCGAUGCCACCAACCCCCGACCCUCGACCCCCGACACCACUGACACCCGACUCCCGACCCCCGACGCCCGACACCACUAACCCCCGGCCCCCGAGACCCGACUCCCGACCCCCGGCGCCCGACGCCACCAACCCCCAACGCNNNNNNNNNNNNNNNNNNNNNNNNNNNNNNNNNNNNNNNNNNNNNNNNNNNNNNNNNNNNNNNNNNNNNNNNNNNNNNNNNNNNNNNNNNNNNNNNNNNNUAUUAUCUUGUCAAACUUUGGAUGUUUUGCAUGCCUUUUAUUUAUUUUCAGGGACUAACAUAUUAACUCAGUGCCAAGUGCCAGUUCCUGUUUUUUCCAUGUUUUUGACCCCUUCCAGAGGAGAUUUUGAAACGGAGUCCAAACGGAAGAAAAUCCCCGAAAAGAUUUUUUCUGGAACGGGAGAAGAUCGGAGGACUUGGGAGCCAAGCCAGAAGAGCCCCAGGUGCCCCACAAGCCCCCACCCCGCGGCCAAGGGGGCCGCGCCAUCCAGGCUUGUGGGCCCGCUGGAGGUCUCCUGACCUAGAUCUUGCGCCUAUAUACUCCCUAAUAUUCCCAAAAAAAUCAAGAGACGAUCGCAAUUACUUUUCCACCGCCGCAAGCUUCUGUCUCCGCAAGAUCCCAUAUGGCACGUCCUGGUGCCCUGUCGGAGGGGGAAUUCGGAUACGGAGGUCUUCUUCAUCAACACCAUGACCUCUCCGAUGAUGCGUGAGUAGUUCACCAUAGUCCUACGGGUCCAUAGCUAGUAACUAGAUGGCUUCUUCUCUCUCUUGGAUCUUCAAUACAAAGUUCUCCAUGAUCUUCAUGGAGAUCUAUCCGAUGCAAUCUUCUUUUGUGGUGUGUUUGUCGAGAUCCGAUGAAUUGUGGAUUUAUGAUCAAAUUAUCUAUGAAUCUUAUUUGAGUUUCUUCUAAUCUCUCUUAUGCAUGAUUUCAUAUCCUUGUAAUUCUCUUCGAGUUGUGGGUUUUGUUUGGCCAACUAGAUCUAUGAUUCUUGCAAUGGGAGAAGUGCUUGGUUUUGGGUUCAUACCGUGCGAUGACCUCACCCAGUGACAGAAGGGGUAGCGAGGCACGUAUCAUGUUGUUGCCAUCAAGGGUAAAAAGAUGGGGUUUUGAUCAUUGGUUUGAGAUUAUCCCUCUACAUCAUGUCAUCUUGCUCAAAGCGUUACUCUGUUCGUCAUGAACUCAACACACUAGAUGCAUGUUGGAUAGCGGUCGAUGUGUGCAGUAAUAGUAGUAGAUGCAGAAAGUAUCGGCCUACUUGUCUCGGACGUGAUGCCUAUAUGCUAGAUCAUUGCCUUAGAUNNNNNNNNNNGUGUUGUUGCCAUCAAGGGUAAAAAGAUGGGGUUCUCAUCAUUGGUUUGAUAGUAUCCCUCUACAUCAUGUCAUCUUGCUUAAAGCGUUACUCUAUUUGUCAUGAACUCAAUACACUAGAUGCAUGCUGGAUAGCGGUCGAUGUGUGGAGUAAUAGUAGUAGAUGCACAAAGUAUCGGUCUACUUGUCUUGGACGUGAUGCCUAUAUGCUAUAUCAUUGCCUUAGAUAUCGUCAUGACUUUGCGCGGUUCUAUCAAUUGCUCGACAGUAAUUUGUUCACCCACCGUAAUACUUGCUAUUUUGAGAGAAGCCUCUAGUGAACACUAUGGCCCCCAGGGUCUACUCCACACCAUAUUUUCAGCCUUACACUUUUUACUUCUUUGCACUUUCCGCCUUCAGAUCUCACUUUGCAAACAAUCUUGAAGGGAUUGACAACCCCUUUGAAGCAUUGGGUGCAAGCUUGUUNNNNNNNNNNNNNNNNNNNNNNNNNNNNNNNNNNNNNNNNNNNNNNNNNNNNNNNNNNNNNNNNNNNNNNNNNNNNNNNNNNNNNNNNNNNNNNNNNNNNCAUGGCAGCGGGGUCCUAAUGGAAACUACGGGAUAUUAAGGUUCUCCUUUUAAUAAAGAACCGGACCAACGCAUUAACACGCGGUGAAUACAAGAACUCCUCAUACUAUGGUCAUCUCCGGGAGUGGUUGCGACUAUUGUCAAUCCGGGGUUGCCGGGUCAUAACACAUAGUAGGUGACUACAACUUGCAAGAUAGGAUCUAAAACACACAUAUAUUGGCGACAACAUAAUAGGUUCAGAUCUGAAAUCAUGGCACUCGGGCCCUAGUGACAAGCAUUAAGCAUAGCCAAGUAGUAGCAACAUCAAUCUAGAACAUAGUGGAUACUAGGGAUCAAUCCGCAUCAAAACUAACUCGAUUACAUGAUAGAUCUCAUCCAACUCAUCACCGUCCAGCAAGCCUACGAUGAGAUUACUCACGAACGAUGAAGAGCAUCAUGGAAUUGUCGAUGGAGGAAGGUUGAUGAUGACGAUGGCGACGAUUUCCCCUCUCCGGAGAACAGAACGGACACCAGAUCUGCCCUCAGAUGAAGAACAGGAGGCGGCAGCGCCUCCAUAUCUAAAACGCGAUGAAACCUUCUCUCUGAUUUUUUUUCGGGCGAGACGGAAGAUAUAGAGCUGAGUUUGGGGGCGGUGGUGCCAUGUGGGCCCCACAAGCCCUCACGACGCGUCCUAGGGGGGUGGUCGCGGCCCAGGGGCUUGUGGCCCACUAGCACGCCCCCUCAGGUGGAUCUUUGUGCAGGUAUUUUUCUUUUAUUCCAGAAAAAUUCUCCGUAAAUUUUCAGGACAUUCCGAGAAAUUUUAUUUCUACACAAAAACAACACCAUGGCAAUUCUGCUGAAAACAACGUUAGUCCGGGUUAGUUCCAUUCAAAUCAUGCAAAUUAGAGUCCAAAACAAGGGCAAAAGAGUUCGCAAAAGUAGAUACGAUGGAGACGUAUCAGUGUGCAGCAAGGAUGAUUGUGAUAGAACAAAAAUAAAAGACUCCUAUAAUACACGACGCUCCAAGCAAAACACAUAUCACGUGGUGAAUAAAAAUAUAGCUCCAAGUAAUAUUACCGAUGGAUUGAAGACGAAAGAGGGGAUGCCUUCGUGGGGAAUCCCCAAGCUUAGGCUUUUUGGUGUCCUUGAAUUUAGCUUGGGAUGCGUUGGGCAUCCCCAAGCUUGAGCUCUUUCCACUCUUUAUCCCUUUGUCCAUGAGAACAUCACCCAAAACUUGAAAACUUCACAACACAAAACUUAAACAGAAACUCGUGAUAUCAUUAGCACAAGAAAACAAACUACCACCACUUUAGGUAUUGUAGCAAACUUGAUUUCUAUUUAUAUUAGUGUUAGAUUACUGUAUUAUCACUUUUCCAUGGCUAGUACCCCCCCCCCCCNNNNNNNNNNNNNNNNNNNNNNNNNNNNNNNNNNNNNNNNNNNNNNNNNNNNNNNNNNNNNNNNNNNNNNNNNNNNNNNNNNNNNNNNNNNNNNNNNNNNCUCAUCUCUUACAAAGGGAUUUCAUUUUUUUAACUUAUUUGAACUCCAUACUUUUUGUGUGUUCAAAAUGCACCAUUCAAAGGCACAUCACAAAAUUUCAACAAUUUCUGACUUCAUUUGGUAUUCUUCGUGCAUUUACUUAUUUUAUUUUUUGAGCUAGUUGACCCUGAAAUUGAAAAGCACUACAAAUGAACUNNNNNNNNNNNNNNNAUUUCGUGCAUUUACUUUUUUUUGAGCUAGUUGACCCUGAAAUUGAAAAGCACUACAAAUGAACUNNNNNNNNNNNNNNNNNNNNNNNNNNNNNNNNNNNNNNNNNNNNNNNNNNNNNNNNNNNNNNNNNNNNNNNNNNNNNNNNNNNNNNNNNNNNNNNNNNNNNNNNNNNNNNNNNNNNNNNNNNNNNNNNNNNNNNNNNNNNNNNNNNNNNNNNNNNNNNNNNNNNNNNNNNNNNNNNNNNNNNNNNNNNNNNNNNNNNNNNNNNNNNUCGUGUACAAAACGGACAAUCUCUCUCGAAGUAUCAGGGUUUCGAACGAGAACUCAUCUCUUACAAAGGGAUUUCAUUUUUUUGAACUUAUUUGAACUCCAUACUUUUUGUGUGUUCAAAAUGCCAUUCAAAGGCACAUCACAAAAUUUCAACAAUUUUUGACUUCACUUGGUAUUCUUCGUGCAUUUACUUAUUUAUUUAUUUUGAGCUAGUUGACCCUGAAAUUGAAAAGCACUACAAAUGAACUCUGAAAAUGUUUAAAGUUGGCAUACUAUCAUCAUUUCACCCACAUNNNNNNNNNNNNNNNNNNNNNNNNNNNNNNNNNNNNNNNNNNNNNNNNNNNNNNNNNNNNNNNNNNNNNNNNNNNNNNNNNNNNNNNNNNNNNNNNNNNNGCCAUAAGGAGUCGCCGUUGCCGCGCCAUAACCUCGAAGUUCCCCGUGUGAGCCAUGGAGGCCCGCCUCCACCUGCAAGUACUUCGCUCCGCCGAGCCUUAUCCGUGCGCCGCCGCUUUUCUGCAUCUUGUAGACGCAUCAUCCCCAGUCACUGUAGCUGUCACGUUGAUUUGAUCCAGAAGCUAUGCUCGAGCGCCGAAACGGGGGCAGCAAGCGGGCAAAGGUACGACCGCGGAGGCGGGUGGGUUGAGAUCGACAAUAGUGGUGGUUGAGGUCGGCCGCGGCGGCGAGUGGUGUGGCAGCGACCUGGGCACAUGCCAGGGUGGACCAGGGUCGACGCGAUGCGCUCGAGCGCCGCAACGGGGGUAGUAAGCGGGAAGAGGUACGGCCGCGGAGGCGGGUGGGUUGAGAUCGAUAGCUGUGGCGGUUGAGAUCAACCGCGGCGGCGAGUGGUGUGGCGGCGGCCUGGGCACAGGUCAGGGUGGCCCAGGGUCGACGGGAGGAGGCGAUGCGUACAGGUAUAAUUUUUGCAGCGAAUCAUUCUUUCCUUUUGCGUUGCAGAUAAAUGAUGGAGCGCGGGUUGGAUAACAAAAAUUACAGGGGCUUUUUUAUAAAAAUAUCGCGGUGGGUUUUCCGACGGAAGCAAUAACCGCUUUAUUAUUACUAGCAAAAGGGCUCGUGAGUUGCAACGGGAGAAAAAAAUAUCACACGCUUUUGAUCUUUUUAUAAUCAUUUUGAUUUAUUAAAAUAAUAAGCUAACUAACUAAUGUAGUCAGUCCUAUCCUAUUUUGUUNNNNNNNNNNNNNNNNNNNNNNNNNNNNNNNNNNNNNNNNNNNNNNNNNNNNNNNNNNNNNNNNNNNNNNNNNNNNNNNNNNNNNNNNNNNNNNNNNNNNAAGGGGGGUUUGCUUGCCUGACACGUCUGAAGAUAGCAAUGAGUCUUCGUCAAUGUCAACGAUCACAACGUCGGAAACAUCGUUUACCGGGAGGAAACAACACCGACAAACAAAAAAGAACAACAAUUACUUCACGGAAAUGCAACACUAUGAUGCAUUCUCAAGACAUGAAAUGAAAGGUGGCAGGGCAAAUGUGGCUAUCAUUUCUUAAGUUGAAGUUGGUUUGAAUUAGGAUUCAAACAUCACGUCAAGCCGGGUAUCUUUCCGGAUACCCUUUUAAUUGAUUCGACCUGAUGCUCAUAACAAAUUGUUUCAACAUGUAUGGAGUUAGUAUUUUGAGGUACUGAUUUGCAUUGACAAAUGUUUGAGCAUACUAAUUGAGGUGGAAUUCAAAUAAGUAUCAAUUUCCAACUCCAAACUAUUUAUUAAAUUUACCCUAUUCAUCAUUUUUCCUAUUUGGUGUUGUUAACUUUUUCAAACAUGCAUGAAAAUUCCAUAACCAGAUUCCUUGGAUUUUUCUGAUACUUUUUCGUAUAUAAAUUAUUUUCAUCCGAGUUAUAUUUUAAUUUCUAUGAUUUUUACAAGUUUUAGUAAUUUCCUGGAUUAAUUCUAUAAUUGAAAAUGAAUUACUGCGUCAGCACUGCAUCAGCAUUGCGUCAGCNNNNNNNNNNNNNNNNNNNNNNNNNNNNNNNNNNNNNNNNNNNNNNNNNNNNNNNNNNNNNNNNNNNNNNNNNNNNNNNNNNNNNNNNNNNNNNNNNNNNAUGGAGGCCCGCCUCCACCAGCAAGUACUUCACUCCGCCGCGCCUUAUCCGCGCGCCGCCGCCGUUCUGCAUCGAGCAGACGCAUCAUCCCCAGUCACUGUAGCUGUCGCGUUGAUUUGAUCCAGAAGCUGUGCUCGAGCGCCGAAACGGGGGCAACAAGCGGGCAGAGGUACGGCCGCUGAGGCGGGUGGAUUGAGAUCGACAACAGUGGUGGUUGAGGUCGGCUGCGGCGGCGAGUGGUGUGGCAGCGGCCUAGGCACAUGCCAGGAUGGACCAGGGUCGAUGCGAUGCGCUCGAGCGCCGCAACGGGGGCAGUGAGCGGGGAGAGGUACGGUCGCGGAGGCGGGUGGGUUGAGAUCGGCAGCGAUGGCGGUUGAGGUCGGCCACGGCGGCGAGUGGUGUGGCGGCGGCCUAGCACAGGCCAGGGUGGCCCAGGGUCGACGGGAGGAGGCGAUGCGUACGAGUAUAAUUUUUGCAGCGAAUCGAUUUUUCCUUUUACGUUUUAGAUAAAUGAUGAAGCGAUGGUUGAAUAACAAAAAUUAUAGGAUUUUUUUAUAAAAUGUCGCGGUGGGUUUUUCAACGGAAGCAAUAGCCUCUUUAUUAUUACUAGCAAAAGGGCCCGUGCGUUGCAACGGGAGAAAAAAAAUACCAUAUAAUUUUAAUAUUUUUAUAAUCAUUUUGAUUUAUUAAAAUAAUAAGCUAACUAACUAAUGUAGUCAGUCCUAUCCUAUUUUGUUGAGAAAUCAACCCGUCCAUUGUUAAUUCCACCAUGAUGAGAAAUUGAGCGGGACAAGCAAAGCAAAACAAAGAGGCUGCGUGAAUUGAUCAAUGGACUGUUAUCUUAUUUCACCCAUGGGGUAGAGAAAGUGGGAUCAGAUCACAAACUGAAGGUGGUGUUCCAUUCUCUGUCUCUACAGCAAUACAAUCUUACAUUCAAUGCAUUCAUUCAUCAGCAAACAAAUCCCUACAAAACAAAAUUUCUUGUCGGUGCUUGGCACACAGUUGGAGGCAUGGGGUGGGGAUCUCACCAGAUGACGAGUUCCUGUCGGAGGAGGGGAUACGAUGAGGGGAGCAAGGGUUAGGCGCAUCUAUCUGGCCAUAAGGAGUCGCUGUUGCCGCGCCAUAACCUCAGAGAUCCCCGUGUGAGCCAUGGAGGCCCGCCUCCACCAGCAAGUACUUCACUCCGCCGCGCCUUAUNNNNNNNNNNNNNNNNNNNNNNNNNNNNNNNNNNNNNNNNNNNNNNNNNNNNNNNNNNNNNNNNNNNNNNNNNNNNNNNNNNNNNNNNNNNNNNNNNNNNGAAGACUCAUUGCUAUCUUCAGACGUGUCAGGCAAGCAAACCCCCCUUGAGCAUAUUUAAAUAAACCCACUGCCUCGCUCCUGCUCUCUUUUACUGCAUUAGGACAAACACGAUUCAACUGUACAUGUUAUCGGUACUUGAACCCAUUCCUCUGCAUGACCUGAUUUUGUCACAGUAAAUAGUUGAAACCACUUAGCAUGAGUAGCAACUGCUUGCGCCUUGAUGUGCUUACUCAUCCAUGCUUGUUUACAAUGCCUGCUAUGCUUAGAGUUGUGUCGGGUCUGAUCCGUCUGAAUGAUGAAUAAGAAUGAUUGUGUUCAUGUCCUACAGUGUGAGAGUAAAGGUGUGAAUCUGAUUUGNNNNNNNNNNCAUGUUGGGUCUGAUCCGUCUGAAUGAUGAAUCGGAAUGGUUGUGUUCAUGUCCUACAGUGUGAGAGUAAAGGUGUGAAUCUGAUUUGGUAAAGGUAGCGAUGAGAGGCCAUGUAGGAGUACAUGGUGGGUUGUCUCAUUGGGACCGUCCUUAAGAACUGAAUUCUGUGUGUGUUAUCCAAGACAAGAUACUACCACACAUUGGGAUACUUAAUUGACCCUCUCGUCUUAUUAAUUGCCUAGAUCUCUGUCCAGGAGUUGCAAUUAGUUUCUGGUGUUUGUAGGAAAAGUGUUGGCGGCCGUGUUUAGCUCUGCCCGACGGGGUAGGCUUCACUACGGUAGAUACACAGUGGCACGGUGUACCAAGUGGCACCCGAAUGGUGGGCUUGGGAACCCUGCGCGCAUCGGUUGGGGCCGUAGAGGAAACCUCGGCCGGACUUCCUUGCGGGUUCAGUCUCAAAUAGGCGAUAAACCUGAACUAGGGUCUUGUGUGGUUAACGGUCGUGGCCGACACCCACGCCAGUGNNNNNNNNNNUAGUGGCACGAUGUACCAAGUGGCACCAGAAUGGUGGGCUUGGGAACCCUGCGCACAUCCUUUGGGGCCGUAGAGGAAACCUCGGCCGAACUUCCUUGCGGGUUCAGUCUCAAAUAGGCGAUAAACCUGGACUAGGGUCUUGUGUGGUUAACGGUCGUGGCCGACACCCACGCCAGUGCUUCCGCUUGAAGGUUGCCGAGAUGCAUGACGUGCAUAUGGUGAUAAGUGGUGGGAGCGUGUGUGAAGAAGUAUACCCCUGCAGGGUGAUUCAAUCUGUUCGAAUAGCCGCGUCCUCGGUUACGGACUACUUGGAAACAUUACGUGGUACAUAGACAAUUUAAAUGGAUACUCUAAAACAUGCAAGACAAGUGUGAGUGCUAUGGAAGGCCUUCUCGUAGGGAGACGAGAGUGGAUCCAUAGUGGUGUAUUGAAUUGGUGAAUAUGUGGACUCUUAUGCGCUAUCCCACCUCAAAGAAAGAACUUGUAGUCGUAGUACAGGUUAGCCAAGAGUGAAAGCUGGCUUGCUGCAAUCAAACCCCACAAUCCUUUCAUUGAAACAUGAUGCAUAUGUAGAUAGUUCUGAUGUAAGACUUGCUGAGUACCUUUGUACUCACGGUUGCUUUAUUUAUGUUUUUGCAGAGAAGUCUUAGACUCAUUAAAAGGUUCUACGCGAUGUGUUCGAUGUUGACCGGAAUAGCUUGGGAAUCCCAGACAGAGGUCUGGCUCCUUUGGUAGGGUCGUAGUAGCUCUUCAGGCUCUUCCAGCCACUUUUAGUAGAUGUCUGUACCCAGACAUGAUUUGCUUCCGCUUGUUGUUUGUAUGACUUGAGUGUCGUGUCACGAGACCCCUGUUUGUAAUAUCAUACUAUGUUGACUCUUAUGAGUCUUUAAUAAAUGCUUGAGUCAUAGAGUUAUGUUGUGAUGCCAUGUUGUAUCUACACAUUUCGCGCAUAAUGUGUGUAUGUUUGAAAUGCAUUAUAUGUGUGGGAUUCGACAUCUAGUUAUUUACCUUUAGUAGUACUCUUUACAGGGAAAUGCCUCUUUGUGAUUCCAUCGAGCCUUGGUAGUUUGCUUCUGCUUGCAACACAUUGAUUGACCGGCAUGUAUCCUUCUUUGCUGCUGUGUCUGUCCCCUCGGGGAAAUGUCACGCGGUGUAAUGGAGUCCUUGUAGCUUGCUAUGACUCGUCUGCACACGCUGAUGACCGACACCUGCUUUGCUGGGUUAUGUAUGCCUGUCNNNNNNNNNNGGUCCUUGUAGCUUGCGACGACUCGUUUACACACGCUGAUGACCGACACCUGCUUUGCUGGGUUAUGUAUGCCUGUCCCUGUACGGUUGUACCGCUGGGGUUUAUAACUAGUAAUGUCGACCCGGGUUCUUUGUCGUUUUAACGCUAGCAACAUAUUCAUAUACGUGAGCCAAAAGACGCAAACGGUCCCGGCCAAGGUAAGGUGGCAGCCGUGGAGUUUACCAUGCGUGAGGCCGCAGAGUGAUGUGAUGUGUUACAAGCUAGGUUCUUAUGACUUAGGAUCGGGGUCCCGACACAAGUGAAAGGCAGUAAUGACGAUAUAUGAUGAAGUGACUCAACCAGGAAAAGUUGGUAUGAACUCGAUCUAUUUUCCUUUCGUAAAUAUGACUAGCUCACUGUUCCUAGUUCAGCUUUGUUGUGAUAGAAACAUGUUUGCAAUGAAAACUUAGAGAUCAUAGUUGCUUAUGCCAUGCUUACUUAGCUAGGAGCUUAUAAUGGUUUGUCUUGGAUGCCAACAUGAAUGUUGAGAUGACUAUGAUGUAGUAUGAUAGGAUGGUAUCCUCGUUUGAAUGAUUCAAGUGGCUUGACUUGGCGCAUGUUUACACAUGUAGUUGAAAUAAAAUCAAUAUAGCCUCUAUGAUGUUCAUGUUCAUGGUGAUUUAUGUCCUACACAUGCUUGCACUCAAUGUUAGUUAAUGUCAAUGAAUUUUGAUGACUGUUGUCGCUCUCUAGUUGGUCGCUUCCCAGUCUUUUGCUAGCCUUCACUUGUACUAAGCGGGAAUACUGCUUGUGUAUCCACUUCCAUAAACCCAAAGUUGUUCCAUAUGAGUCCACCAUACCUACCUAUGUGCGGUAUCUACCUGCCGUUCCAAGCAAAUUUGCAUGUGCCACUCUCUAAAUAUUCAAGAAAUAUUCUGUUUUGCAUGCCCGAACCGCUCAUGUGGUGACAGGGGGCUAUCAAUAUCUUCCAUGCUAGGCGUGUUAUCCUCGAUAUGUGUUUAUUCACUAUCAUUCACGAGAAAGGGGCCGGUAAUUGGAAUUCCCAGUUCCAUGCUCAAAUCGAAAAGAUAAUUGCAAACAAAACUCCCCCAGGAUUGAUCUUGGUAUGGACGGUACCCGAGGAUUCGGCAAGCCGUGGAGUGUGAUUGAUUGGUGGUGGGGGAGUCAAAACUUUACUUUUCUGUUUGGGAACCGCCUAUAGCAUGUGUAGCGUGGAAGAUGUUGAGAACUCUUAGUCAUUGCAUUGACAAUGAAAGCAUGCCACCCAAAAUUAUUAUCUCUGUUUUCAAAGCUUGAGCUCUGGCACCUCUGAAAAUCAAUGCUUCCCUCUGCGAAGGGCCUGCCUAUUUAUGUUCCUGUUGAGUCAUCCUCCUCUUACAAAAGCACCAAUUAGAGAGCACCUCUGUCAUUUUUAUGCUUUGCUUUUAACUGUGUUGAGUAUGACUGUGACUGGAUCUUCUUUGCCAUGAAAUACAAUGUUUAGUCAGCCCUUGGUCUUUGAAGGUGGUCUGCAUUUAUGUUUUGCGGUCUCAGAAAGAGCUAGCGAGAUACCAUCUAUUCGUACUCCUUCAUAUUGUUUUGAUUGAAGUGUUGCCAUUUGAGGCUUAUUAUUAUUUGCUCGCUAGUUGAUUAUGCCAUUGAUAUGAGUUUACCGUGAGACCUAGAUGUCAUUUGCUUAUGUGGUUUGCUUGUGAUCUUGCUGAAACUCUGGAUAUGAGUUAGACAUAGUUGCAACAACAAGAUCAAACAGAGUUCGUCAAAGUUUUUCUUUUGUCUCUUUGAGUUUGUCAACUGAAUUGCUUGAGCACAAGCAAGGCUUUAAGCUUGGGGGACUUGAUACGUCUCCGUUGUAUCUACUUUUUCGAACUCUUUUGUCCUUGUUUUGGACUCUAAUUUGCAUCAUUUGAAUGGAACUAACCCGGACUAACGCUCUUUUCAGCAGAAUUGCCAUGUUGUUGUUUUUGUGUAGAAAUAAAAGUUCUCGGAAUGUCCUGAAAAUUUACGGAGAAUUUUUCUGGAAUAAAAUAAAAAUACAUGUGCAAAGAUCCACCGGAGGGGAAGUGCCAGUGGGCCACAAGCCCCUGGGCCGAGGACACCCCCCUAGGCCGCGCCGUGAGGGCUUGUGUUGCCCACAUGGCACCACCGCCCCCAAACUCAGCUCUAUAUCUUCCGUCUCGCCCGGAAAAAAAUUAGAGAGAAGGUUUCAUCGCGUUUUACGAUAUGGAGGCGCCGCCACCUCCUGUUCUUCAUCUAGAGGGCAGAUCUGGAGUCCGUUCUGCGCUCCGGAGAGGGGAAAUCAUCGCCAUCGUCAUCAUCAACCUUCCUCCGUCGACAAUCCCAUGAUGCUCUUCAUCGUUCGUGAGUAAUCUCAUUGUAGGCUUGCUGGACGGUGAUGAGUUGGAUGAGAUCUAUCAUGUAAUCNNNNNNNNNNGUGCGUGAGGCCGCAAAGUGAUGUGAUGUGUUACAAGAUAGGUUCUUAUGACUCAGGAUCGGGGUCCCAACAGCUUUGGUAUCAGAGUUUGACUGCGUGUAGGAUAACCAAGCCAAACUGGUCGAUGUUGUGUCUAGAAACUCUUUAGUUAUAUAAGGGAAUUGUUUGUGGAAGGGAAUGUAAGGCUCUUUUUACUCCUUUCCGUGUGUCAUUCUUAUUCUGAGUCACCCUCUUCUUUAUUCUACGGGGUUUAAGAAUUAGGCUUCUCAUCUAUUCAUUAGGAUGACGAGUUACUAUGUUGAAGACUUAUAGAGAAGUUGUUGUCUUCCUCGAUCAGUGUCUCCAUAAGAAUUCAAUUGUUAUAUUGUUAGUUUUCUUGCAGGUUGCCUCAUAUUUCAUGCCUGUACAGCCGUUAUGCUGUCCGAGUUUUCCAAAGUUCCCAAAUAGUCUGAUGCAAUUGCAAAUUUCCUCCUCAUGAGCUAAUGUCUUUUGGCCAGACAACGCACACUAAUAAUUGUGUUGAGGAACUUUAUUACCUCGAUAUUCUGUUGAAGUAUUAGGAAAAACAUGUUACUCCGAAAACUACCCAAUAGUCUAGAUGUGUGCUAUGUCUUCCAGUGUGAUAGUUCUGGCCAUCAUUUUCGAAAAACAUCUCGUGAUGUUAAAUAGCUUGUAGGUACUCUAUUUCUGGGCCUUUGAAUCCAAGGAUCAUUCUGCUCAUCUCUGUUGAUAGUGUUGCUAGUUCCUUUAGAAUGAUUAGUAACCUUGUUGUAAUCCUGAAGGUGCGUGGUAUAUCAUUCUUCCAAUACCAUGGACCAUCUCUGUCAAAAGUCCUUCGUGAACUAAAGAUCAUAAUAAGAGUGCUCGUGAUGAGUUCUCCACUCCAUAUUGUGAUUCUGCCUAUUCCGCUCUUCUGCAUGGGUUAUCUGGAAGAAUUAUGUUGAACUCGUUCGACAUUCUAAUCCAUGCAUCCAUAACUCAAGAAAUCAUGUGCUCUUGAGCUGACCCUAUCUAGUUGUAUUUUGACCUUCAUCAUUGAAAGGAUAGUCAAGAGUAGUUGUGCAUUCAUGUCAUCGAUGUCUUCUAUUUUGUGGUCUGUCAAGUUGUUCUAUUCUCGAAAGACUGGGAGAAGCAAACUCCAGUACCACCUCCAUUUCUUGGAUUUGGUCAAAGUAGUUGUAUUUCACAGAUCGAAAUGCUAAACCAGCUUUUGUUCUGUUCUAUCUUGGAGUAUUACCCUCUUUUUGUCAAGAGUGUUAUGAGAAUUGCACCAUCUCUUAUGAGCUCUUGAUGCAGCGAUACUUCUCGCUAUCAUUGUUCAUCCCUCGGUUUUCGUGUUGGUUGUAACCGGAAUAUCGACAAGUGAACCAUGACGUGUGAAAUCAAUACUCCUAGCAAUGCUAUUGCUUGGUAGCUAAUGGAGAAUAAUUUCACUCUUAUGGUGAUGGUGAUUGAAUCGUCAUUCUAAGAUUGACCGUGCUACCUAGUCCAUGUUUCAUGGUGCACCUUUUGAUCAAUGAGUUAGGAUUUUGUCAAUCCCUCGUUCUAUUGAUCACAUCAUCUUGCACUGAAAAGCAAGAUUGUUCUCGAGCUUAAUAAUAUACGAUGGUUCGUGAUUUUCCGAAUAUCUUCUUGGAAGUAUUACCAGGUUGUUUCCUGACUGUUAUGAUAGAGCUCGUGAUCAAGUUGGUUUUUCUAUAAACCAACCCCUUCUCCAAGAAUCUGUAUUGGAUACCCCGAGCUAGUUGGUUAACCUAAACAACAACUUGGAGAGUUGGAAGAUAAAAGCUUCGCCUAAACUCAACUCAUUUAAAAGGGAUAUCUUUCUGUUGUGUGAGUCUGAAGAAAGAUGAUAUUUUCAUCGGUUGAUUCGUGUGAUCAAUUGUUGCAUAUAUUAUCUUGUUCAAUUUUGAUUUGAGCAUGGGCUAUCGUUGAAUCAAACUCAGAACCAAAGAUUUUCGUAGCGGUGUUUUACUCAUGGAUUUUCUCUGAGCAUACACCAUUAUACUCUUUGAUCUGACCAAUGCUAAUAUCUUGCUCACAUAGUUAUGGAAAUCCAUUUAUAUGGGUAUCUUGAUGAAUUGUUGUUGAGCCCAUCGGCAACAUUCUAAUUUGUUCCAUGAUCUAUGUUGGACAUUAAGCUAGUGCUGGAAACUUUGUAGACAUUGUCUUCGUGUCUCGAACACGAGGUAUAUGUUAGGUGUAAGAAGUGACUUCCUCUAAUUCAUGUGCAUUGGUGCAAGUUGCUGCCACGAAAUUGGGAAGGUCGUUUUGUUAUCUCCAGAAUCAUCCCAAAUCAGUCAUGCAUGUGCGAAGUAUGCUGUGGUUUCAUAGCUUUGCAACCUCUCUCUCCAUAUGUAUUUCCUAGCACACCAAGCCACUGAUUGAUUUGUUCAAGGAAAAGAAGUUAAGUGCCAUCCCUGAAGGUACCAGACGGACUUGCACAUGGCUUCGUUAUCCGCAAUGAUGGUUCCCAUCCAGAACUCGGUAGUGUUUUGUUACAAGAGUUUUCAUGUGUUCACAGUUGUCUUGGGCAGUGUGUUCAUGUGGGUCUUGCGAUCCAGCUCAUGUUUUGGAGUUGUCUUCCGUAGUUCAUUUCCUGAGAAUCUCGCAACGUUAUCUCGUCGAUUUGUGUUGCAAACUUUCUUUUUGGACAUGCUGAGUCUGAAGCAUCGUGGCACCAACCGGAGCUGAAUCUCAGGCAGUUAUAAUGGUUGGAACUUCCCCAAGAUUUAUAAUAUUGGUCUCUAUGUAACCCGGUAAAGUGGUGAAAUGGCUAACACACCUAGCCGGAAGCUUGAUAUUAUAAUAUCUUGCAUCAGCAAUCUUAGCCAUCUUCCGUGUGGUUUUUGUAUGACCUAUUUUAUAAGUUGUUCCUCAUGGAUUCCCUUUGGUCCCGAAGUCCGACCUAUACUUGAUGCGCUAGAUAUCAAGCACGAUCUAUAAUUGGGUUGUGCUAGUACAUCAAGGAGAACAUUAGAAGCGGAGUGCUAAAUGUCUCUCGGUCGAUCAACCAGAUUUCGUUCCCUUGGCACAGCUAAGGUGAAAUCUGAGGAAUUGUUGUCUUCCUUUGCAUUUGCAUCCUCCAUCACUAUUCAUCAUGGUAGUAUGUUAUGUCACCAGGAUCCUUGGCACGGAUGUUGGUAAAACUUUGAUGAAUAUGGGAAUGCUCAAGUUCUUGAGAGCACGCUCAGACACUAGGUUAUAUCCUCGGUAAAAAUUGGAUUGUGCCUUCCGUUUGCCGAGUUGUUCUAUAACUCUAGUUUCUUUCAAACUGAGUAUGCCAUUCUUUCAAAUUCCUCCAACAAUUAUUGCCUUACCCUGGUAUGAAGAGUUUCAAUGAUCUUGGGAUCAAAAGUAAUUCUUUUUGCCACUUAAAGGAAUAUCUCUGUGAGUCACCUUCCUAAGGUGCCCCGUUAUGAUACGAAUGGCAAUUUAAUCCUCGCUACUUUGAAACCUCGUCACCAUCUGAUUUAAGCAUGGAUUUGUUGCCUACCAAUUGAACCUUUGUCUUAUGCCUCAUUUUCUCAUCCGUGUUACGUGUUGUGUCUCAGCUCAAGGGACGUUCCUAUGUCUCAUUCUAUGAGUUGAUCUUGAGUUGCUCGAUCUUCGAGGAGAUCGAAUCUUAUGUCGUCUCUAUGUUCUUUUGUCGCCAAACUAGAUGAAGACCUCAAGGACAAAGAUGUCAAGAUCAACAUGGUACGAUGAAUCAACAUCCUCGAGAGAAGCAAAUGGAUCAUGAAGAUUGUGAUAGUUUAGUGUCCCCUCUUCCUCCUCCCGACUACGCCUGAAUCUCGGGACGAGAUUCUUGUUUAGUGGGGGUGAGUUGUCACAGCCCUAGAUUAUAUCUUGUAGUUAGUUGCAUCAUUAAGNNNNNNNNNNACAUGAAACCAUCAAAAAUUAUAGAUACGUUGGAAACGUAUCAUCGUCCGGUAGAAAAGUAUCCCGGAGCUGGUUAUUUCCCUCCUUGGGAGUAGACCAACUUAGGCCAAAAGCCUAAGCUUGGGGGAGUACGUGUUCUCAUCGACUUUACAUUCUUGCUUAUGCUUUCACAUUGUUAGCCGAUGUUCACACUUUGCCACUGUAUCAUCCAUGCUAGUUUAUUUUAUUUUUCUCGUUUUCUUUUCGUGUGUCUGUCUAGUUUGAGAAAACCCAAAAAUAUUUUUUCUUCUUCUUUUGCUUGUUGGGAGCUUUCCCGUGUAAAUAGUUUUCUUUUUCUUUGGUUCAAUGUAGAAGAUAUUGGUUACAAUGUUUAGUGGCUCUUGCAUGCAUACCUGUUUAGCUUUCAAAGAGCCAUAUUGCUUUGUCUUCUCCGUUGUGUUUGGCUGCAGAUUCUAGCUUUAGUCCAAUGCACGAGCACUCUUAUUAUUGUUCACAUCAUUCAGUCGUGCAAGUUGUCACAGCCCUAGAUUAUAUCUUGUAGUUAGUUGCAUCAUUAAGCAUUCAUGAAUGCAUUCAAAUCAAUUUUAUUCAAAUUGGAUGAUUUACAAAUGGGGAUGACUAAACUCUAACACCAAACAACAUUGAAAUAGGUUCAACAAGAGAAAAAUCCUAGCUACUCUAUAUUCAAAACAAAACCCUAGCAACUCUAUAUGCAAAACAAUUCAAAAGUGGUGAUAAAUCGAUGAACCAAAAUGGUUUCAUAAAAGUCCAUCAUUUUUGAUAAAUGUUGGAAAGAAAAUAUCAGGGGUGAUAUAUAUUUUCAAAAUACUUUUGGCAUUUUAGUUUAAACUCAAAACCCACUGAAAUCAAUUAAUUAAUUGAUUUCAAAUACUUCCUAGUUUUAUAAAAUGUUGAAACUAUUUUGUGGCAUUGAUCAUUUUUUUACUACUGUCACAUAAUACUAUUCUAGGAUUUUAUAAAAUGAUUAAAUGUUUUAUUAAAAUCCUAAACCUAAAAUGCCAGAAAGAAAUAAAAAAAAACAGAAACAGGAAAACAGAGGGAAGUCCUUACCUGCGCUCACCUGAAGCGGCCCAGCCCACGAGGGGCACCGCUGUCUUCCUCCUCCUGCGAGGAGGAGAAGCAGCUGCGUGCCCGACGCAUCGCCAGGCACCGCCACGUCCCUUGGCCACCUCCUGCUCGCCCCCGUCCUUAUCCCCUCGCCAUGGAUGCCCUAGACCCCCCCUCGAGCUCAUCCUCCUCUCCUCUCCCCAGUUUCCCCUUCUCUCUCUCUGCUUUCCCUCGUUGCCUCCAUGGCCGAGCUAGAGCUCAAGCUCGCCUCUGUGGUCUCCGGCCUUCCCUCGCCUCUCCGAGAAGCCUAGAAGGACCGCCUCGACGCCCUGUUCCUCCUCGCCAUUGGAAUCGAGCCCGAACGACCCCUAUCGUCGCCAUCGCCGUUGUCAUCCUCACCUCCGGCCGCCGGCCCCCUUCCGUCGAUUCACCGCCUCUGGCGCGCCCCCGACCUCGCCACCGGUGCCACGAGGUCCGCAGUGAGUCCCUCUAUCCAUUCCCCUCCUUCCCCAUCGAGCUUCCCUCCUCUAUAUCCCUCUUGCCGCCGGAGCCCGAGCUCCCUGCUGUCGGCAAUGGCCGUCGCGGCAGAGCCUCUCUCUCGCCCGUUUGGGGGUGCCGGCGUGCUCCUAGGGACCCGUAGGUGCCGCCCCGGCCCCCAGUUCCUCUUCCCGCAGCCUCUGGAGACGAGCCCGAGCUGGCCGAGCUCCGGCCCCCGCCCCGUCGUUGCCGUCGUCGUCUCCGGCGACCCCCCUCGCCUCAAAACCCCCGGAAUGGAUGCGGGCGAGCUCGGGCUACGCCCUAGUGGCCUCCUGUGUCGCUGCCAUGGCCGGAGUCGUGGACUCCGCCGCAUGCAGUGGUCGCCGGCGUUGAACCUCACCGGUGAGCCACUGAACGAUGGGUCCACAUCAUCAGGUGAUUAGCUUAGAGCUAAUCACAUGUUAGUUUAACCCAGAGCCAAUGACAGACGGGCCCCACUUCUAAUUAAGUCAUUAGUUAGCUAAAAAAACCUGUUAUUAAACUGAGUCACUGACGUGUGGCCCCCACACGUCAGGUUUGACUCUGACCAAGCCAGUUGACAGCUGACGCAAUGCUGAUGCAGUGCUGACGCAGUAAUUCAUUUUCAAUUNNNNNNNNNNCCCUGUUAUUAAACUGAGUCACUCACGUGUGGCCCCCACACGUCAGGUUUGACUCUGACCAAGCCAGUUGACUGCUGACGCAAUGCUGAUGCAGUGCUGACGCAGUAAUUCAUUUUCAAUUAUAAAAUUAAUCCAGGAAAUUUCUAAAACUUGUAAAAAUCAUAGAAAUUAAAAUAUAACUCGGAUGAAAAAUAAUUUAUAUAUGAAAAAGUAUCAGAAAAAUCCAAGGAAUCUGGUCAUGUCAUUUUCAUGCAUGUUUGAAAAAGUUAACAACGCCAAAUAGGCAAAAUGAUGAAUAGGGUAAAUUUAAUAAAUAGUUUGGAGUUGGAAAUUGAUACUUAUUUGAAUUCCACCUCAAUUAGUAUGCCCAAACAUUGGUCGACGCAAAUCAGUACCUCAAAAUACUAACUCCAUACAUGGUGAAACAAUUUGUUAUGAGCAUCAGGUCGAAUCAAUUAAAAGGGUAUCCGGAAAGAUACCCGGCUUGACGUGAUGUUUGAAUCCUAAUUAAAACCAACUUCAACUUAAGAAAUGAUAGCCACAUUAGCCCUGCCACCUUUCAUUUCAUGUCUUGAGCAUGCAUCGUAGUGUUGCACUUCCGUGAAGUAAUUGUUGUUCUUUCUUGUUUGUCGGUGUUGUUUCCCCCCGGUAAACGAUGUUUCCGACGAUGUGAUCAUUGACAUUGAUGAAGACUCAUUGCUAUCUUCAGACGUGUCAGGCAAGCAAACCCCCCUUNNNNNNNNNNNNNNNNNNNNNNNNNNNNNNNNNNNNNNNNNNNNNNNNNNNNNNNNNNNNNNNNNNNNNNNNNNNNNNNNNNNNNNNNNNNNNNNNNNNNUUAGGAGUCUUUUCUUUUUGUUGCGUCACAAUCAUCCUUGCUGCACACCUUUUUGAGAGAGAGAGACAUGCACUCAUCGUGAUUUUGCUAGAAUGCUCAUAGUGCUUCACUUAUAUCUUUUGAGCUAGAUACUUUUGCUCUAGUGCUUCACUUAUAUCUUUUGAUCUAGAUACUUUUGCUCUAGUGCUUCACUUAUAUCCUUUGAGCUAGAUAACUUUUGCUCUUGUGCUUAACUUAUAUCUUUAGAGCAUGGCGGUGUGUGAUUUGGUAGUUGGCUUAUGCUAUGAAAGUAGUCCCAAAUGUGCUAGGUACCCAAAGAGGAUGCAAAAAACCUCCAUCUUCAUGUGCAUUGAAUAGAAAGUGAAGUCUUGAUUCCUCUCAAUUAGUUUUGAGACAUGGAUUCGGUAAUAUUGAGGGUUAUGUUAGUAGGGUGUUUUGAAUCUAGAGAUACUUGUCUUGGAGUUAGUUAUUCUCGUAGCAUGCACGUAUGGUGAACCGCUAUGUUAGGAAGUCGGAGCAUAAUUGAUCUAUUGAUUGUCAUCCUUUGUGCUGCGGUCGGGAUGGCGCGAUGGUUAACACCUACCAACCCUUCCCCUAGGAGUAUGCGUUUAGCACUUUGUUUCGAUUACUAAUAAAAACUUUCGCAACAAGUAUGUGAGUUCUUCAUGACUAAUGUGUGUCCAUGGUAUAGAUGCACUUUCACCUUCCACCAUUGCUAGCCUCUCUAAUGCCGCGCAAUUCUUGCCGGUGCAUAAACCCACCAUAUGCCUUCCUCAAAACAGCCACCAUACCUACCUACUAUGGCAUUUCCAUAGCCAUUCCGAGAUACAUUGCCAUGCAACUCCCACCGUUCGUCUCAUGACUUAUGCCGUCACUCUCAUAUUGCCAUUGCAUGAUCAUAAGAUAGCUAGCAAGAUGUUUCAACGUCAUACGCCAAGCUAGAUCGUUGCACAUCCCGGUACACUGCCGGAGGCAUUUUCUAGAGUCAUCAUCGUUCCGAGCUUUGAGCUGUGAGUAAAUAAAAGUGUGAUGAUUAUAAUUAUUGGAGCAUUGUCCCAUGUGAGGAAAUUAAAAAAAGGCCAAAGAACCCAAAAAUAAAAAAAGAGGCCCAAGAGUCCAAAAAAAGAGAAAAAGAGAGAAGGGACAAUGCUACUAUCUUUUUCCACACUUGUGAUUCAUAAAAGCACCAUGUUCUUCAUGAUUGAGAGCCUCUCGUUUCGUCACCACCAUAUGCUAGUGGGAAUCUAUUAUAUAACUUUGCUUGUAUAUUCCAAUGAUGGGCUUCCUCAAAUUACCCUAGGUCUUCGUGAGCAAGCAAGUUGGAUGCACACCCACUAGUUCUCCUUUUGAGCUUUCACAUACUUAUAGCUCUAGUGCAUCCUUUGUAUGGCAAUCCCUACUCAUUCACAUUGAUAUCUAUUAAUGGGCAUCUCCAUAGCCUUUUGAUAUGCCGAGUCAAUGUGACCAUCUCCUCCUUUUUGUCUCACAACCACCACCACACUCUAUUCCACCUAUAGUGCUAUAUCCAUGGCUCACGCUCAUGUAUUGCGUGAUAGUUGUAAAAGGUUUGAGAAAGUAAGAGUGCAAAAACAAUUACUUGGCCAAUACCGGGGUUGUGGAUGAUUUAAAUUAGUUGUGUGGGGAUGAUGGAGCAUAGUGAUACGUCUCCAACGUAUCUAUAAUUUUUUAUGGUCUCAUGCUAUUAUCUUGUCAAACUUUGGAUGUUUUGCAUGCCUUUUAUUUAUUUUCUGGGACUAACUUAUUAAUCCAGUGCCAAGUGCCAGUUCCUGUUUUCACCAUAGAAUAGAAGUUCAUAAAUUGCUUCAACUCUUCCAUAAUACUCGGUGCCUCCUUCCCGGUAGCAGAGACAGAAAAAAUUGUAGUCUUUAGGUCGGGCAUAGAUAGCUCUUUGCCAAAGGUACGAAAGUGAUACCUGUUGAUGUUGUAUUUGUCAAAUGAACGGACCUUAUAGUCAAAACCAUUAGCGACUUGUCUCAACUCGGCGUCCAUAGACUCUGCAUCAGCCUACAAGUUUAAUACGAAAGAGUGGAUGCAUUAGCCACAAAUUAGACCAAGAAAUCAAAUGGGCCCUUAAUGGUAAUUAAUUACCCUUUGUUUGAACCAAGAGAUGAAACCGGGAUAGUCGCCUCCAUGCUUUGCGAGAAGCUCAUACUCUUCGACGGAAUCCUUUUCGAUGACCGCUCCAUCCGAGAAUUCGGCGAUGUAUCGGCUAUAUCAAAUAUCCGGGAAUAAGAGUAGUUCAAAGCAAUUAGAAGUUGCGGACCAAUAAUUUACCGAGAACUUACUCGAUGUACGGUCGCACUUCUGUUAGGUUGGUGAAGAUAUACAAUGAAAUGGUCCGCCAUUCUUCGACAUCCAACGAUUUCCCUUUCGAAGCACCGGAUGGUGCGAGCUUACCUUUGAAUAGGCUGAGGUUGGAUCGAUUUUUUUGGAUCGCCAUCAUUGUACCGAGGCUUCGGGUUAUGCAAAUGAUGAUUUUUGGCUUCGUAGUGUGCUGUCAUGAAGUUUUUCGCCUCCUCAGUAAUGAAUGCAUCGGCCAUCGAUGCUUCAAUUCUACGUUUAUUUUUACACUUAGCACGAAGCGUCUUCUGCAUCCUCUCAGUUGAGUAGCACCAUCGAUUUUGAACGGGCCCCCCAUUCUUGCCUCGGUCGGGAGAUGCAAAAUCAAAUAUUGCAUUGGAUUAAAGAAGCCCGGUGGAAAGAUCUUUUCUAAUUUGCGGAUCAACUCCGCCGACAACUCUUCCAUUGCAUCUAGCACGCCAGGCGAUAGUUCUUUCGCACAAAGAGAAUGGAAGAAAUAGCUCAGCUUUGCCAGUACUAGCCAUUCAUCCUCAGGGAUAAAGCCACGCAACAUCACCAGCAUUACCCGCUCAAUCCAUAUGUGCCAAUCAUGACUCUUGAGACCAAAUAUUUUCAAAUUCUCAAGACUCGCUCCCCUCUUUAGAUUCACAGCAUACCCAUCGGGGAACAUCAAUCGCAUUUUCACCCACAAUAGCAUUUCCCUCAUAGCUGGCCUUUCAAGAUUGAACCAUGCCUUUGGCUUCGCUAUGCUUUGCUUUCCUUUCCGUUGUCGCAAGUUUUGCAACGGUUUAUCACAUAGAGCCUCCAGGUCGAUUCUAGCCUUAGGAUUAUCUUUUGACUUCCCCUCUAUGCCGAACAAUGUACCAAAAAUGGCCUCCACAAUAUUCUUUUCAGUGUGCAUCACGUCGAUGUUGUGUGGGCAAAGGAGGUCUUUGAAGUAAGGCAGAUCCCAUAAGCAUGACUUGUGAGUCAAGGCGUGUUCCGUAUUAUACCCUUUGAAGUAUCCUAGAUGCAAAGGAUCAGGCUCGAGAGCGUUUAAUUGAUCAAGGGUCUGUUGGCAUGUCAACGCAGCUGGUGCAGUGUUUUUGACAACUCUACCUUUGAUGAAAUUCUUCUUGUCUUUUAUGAACUUAUGGUUAGGAUCCAGGAAUUGUCUAUGCAUGUCGAAGCAAGAAAACUUGCGACCAGCCUGCAGCCAACGGAACUAAAGAGCUACCUUGCAUGUGGUGCACGGGAACCUUCCAUGCACACACCAGCCAGCGAAUAGCGCAAACGCCGGAUAAUCAUGCGUCGAGUACAUGUACCACACAUGCAUUUUGAAAUUUGUUUUGGUAGCCGCGUCGUAGGUCUUGAUCCCAUUAUCCCAGGCUUCUUGCAACUCAUCCUUAAGCGGCUGCAUGUACACAUUCAUAUUCUUCCCCGUAUAGUUGGGCCUUGGAAUUAUCAACAUUAGGAAAAUGUUCUUUCUUUUCAUAAUCUCUCCGGGUGGCAAAUUGAGUGGAAUGACAAAUAUAGGCCAACAAAUAUAUUGUGCUGCCGUCAUACCAUACACAUUGAACCUAUCCGUGCUGAUGGCAACUCUAGGUUUCCUUGGAUCUUUCGAUUUAUCCUUAUGUAAUGCAUCGAAGUGCCUCCAUGCAAAACCAUCUGAAGUGUGUACCAGAAUCUUGUUCCCAUCCGCAUCUAGUUCGGUUCUUUUGCCCAAUUUGUGCCAUGUCAUCUAUCUGGCCGUCUCUUCGACCAUGAAAAGACGUUAAAGUCUUGGUACGAUUGGCAGAUACCGAAGAACACUAAUGGGGAUUUUGGUCUGAUUCUUCUCACCCAUACCGUUGUCUACCACAAUAUACCUGGAAAAAUUGCAAAUGGGGCAAUAGUUCAAGGCCGCAUACUCAAGCCUAAAUAGGGCACAUCCAUUCUCACAGGCAUGUAUCUUCUCAUAGGGCAUCUUAAGUACACGGAGGAUUUUCUCUAACAGGUAUAGGUUUGCAGGCAGUACAUGGCCUUUGGGUAGAAAGCGUCCAAAUAUCGUCAUCAUCACAUCAUAGCAUUCUCUGCCAAGGUUGAAUUGAGCCUUCAGAGCCAUUACUUGCGCGAUGGCAUCCAGCUGCCAAAGCUUAGUAUGCUAGUGGAGAGGACGUUUUGAAGACUCCAACAUUUCAUAGAAGGCCUUUGCAGAUUCCUCCAUCUCAUCGUCCGAAUCCGAGCAUCAUCAAAGUCUUGCACCAUGUCUUCAAUCCCGGUACCAUGCUCGUCGGUGCGACGACGAAUCACCUCAGCUCUGCCAUGUUGGUCAGACUCACCAUGAAAAGUACACACCGUAUAAUUAGGCGUAAAACCCCACUUCUGCAGGUGUUUACCCAUUUCAAACUCUGUCUACUUUUUCUAGUUGUCGCAGUUGGGACAGGGGCACCAUGUUUUUUGCUGGCCAUUUGCAAAUGCGGCUCUCACAAACCCCCUGGUUUUUGUUAACCAUUCAUGGGUCAUGUCUUUCUGACUAGGGUGGCCAGUGUACAUCCAAGCACGACCACUCAUGUUGCCUAGCUACCUAUGGGCGCACAAGAAAUAAAUAUAUAAUUCAUCAUCUAUAUUCAUACGCUAAUCAAGUUUGUCAGCUUUAUUAUGUCCAUGCAACCUACACGCUAAUAGGUAAAGAUAGGUCCUAAUCCCACCCGAGUAUGUGUAGAUUGGGUUCGUUUUCCCAUGCUCUGCUCCAGAUGCGACGCAGAAUUUCGGCACCACCUCCCCGUUGUUCUCCUGAUACACGUCUCGGCAAUAAGUAGAGAGGAUGUGUACCCGGAGAACAACAGGGAGGCACUGACGAAAUUCUGCAUCGGAUCCAGAGCACAGCAUAUGGGAAAGUGAACCCAAUCUACACAUACUCGGGCUGUCCAUGGAUAAUGUUGGACAAUUCAAAAGGAUGGCAGUUAUAAAUAUGCAAAGAAAUGCAUAUUUAUAGAUGUCGCCCGUUCGUACGGGAGACGCAUACUGGUCACGCAUACUCAUGAUUGAACAAACCUAUAGCUAGCAAGUUUCAUCGGCACGAAGACCGGGACAGAGCAAAUUAAGGGGGUAGGAGGAGAAGUCAUUUGUGCUCACCAACAAACGCAGGGGGAGCUCGUCCAACGCACGUGGAGGUCGUCGAACAACUGUACAUUGAAAUUCACACGAUCAACACAAAUAUGAUGUUUUUAUAAUUAACAUAACUAGAAAAUAUGUGAACUAACUCAUAAUUAACAAAACUAUGACCCGGUGGGCCUCUAGAAGGCCGAAAAGCACCUUCUCGUUCAACACUAAGUAGAAGAGGUGUCGGGGGUUGGGGCUUAGUGUCGUCAAGGGUCGGUGGUGUCGGGUGUCGAUGGUCGGGAGUCGGGUUAAAUGCGUCGAUGGUCAUGGGUCAGUGUCGUCGGGGGUCGAGGGUCACUAGCGUCGGGGGUUGGGGUCUUUUCGAUCAACAAGAGGCCAAAGAGGUGUCGGGGCCCAGGGGUUGGGGGUUAGUGGCGUCGGGGGUCGGUGCCGGGGGUCGAGGGUCAGUGGCGUCGGGGGUCAGGGGUCAGUGGUGUCGGGUGUCGGGAGUCGGGNNNNNNNNNNNNNNNNNNNNNNNNNNNNNNNNNNNNNNNNNNNNNNNNNNNNNNNNNNNNNNNNNNNNNNNNNNNNNNNNNNNNNNNNNNNNNNNNNNNNGCCUCGAGCCGCCGCUGCUCGAGCCCGGCGCCGCCGCGCGGGACCUCCCCGGCUACCUCGCCGUGCUCGCCCGCCUCGAGGAGGCCCUGCGGUUCCUCUCGGCCAACUGCGGCCUCGCCGCCGAGUGGCUCGCCGACAUCGUCGAGUACCUCGGCGACCACGACCUCGCUG